UCUUUCAUGGUGAAACGAGGGAAAAUUGGCGAAACAAUUGGUUGCUAAUUAUACUUAUAUUCCUGUGAUUUCAUAUACCAAAUUGAACUUCGGAACUUAUAUGCAUACUGUCAGUCAUUCCAACAAGUUGACUUAGCGCUCAGUAACUUUCCAUCCAAUAGAUCCUCAUACUGUCAAAAGCCUAAAACUAUUGUUUGAAACUCGCAUAUAGUGGAAUUCAAAUCUGCCGAGUUAAGAAGGCAACCCAAGUGAGAGAAAGGUGAACAUGUAUAAUGUGUGUGUACGCAUACAUGUUCCAGUUCUGCUUGAUUCCUUACUAAAUUCAUCGGCUGUAUGUUAAAGCAUCAGGAAAUUUAUCUCAACAUGAGGAGUAAGGCUGUUGGUUGCUG